rnacentral:rRNA from 1 species
CUACGGGGUGCAGCAGUGAGGAAUAUUGCACAAUGGGGGAAACCCUGAUGCAGCAACGCCGCGUGGAGGAUGACGCAUUUCGGUGUGUAAACUCCUUUUAUCAGAGAAGAAAAUGACGGUAUCUGAUGAAUAAGCUCCGGCUAACUCCGUGCCAGCAGCCGCGGUAAUACGGAGGGAGCAAGCGUUAUUCGGAAUCACUGGGCGUAAAGGACGCGUAGGCGGGUUUUUAAGUCAGGUGUGAAAUCCUAUGGCUCAACCACAGAACUGCACUUGAAACUGGGGACCUAGAGUAUGGAAGGGGCAGGUGGAAUUAGUGGUGUAGGGGUAAAAUCCGUAGAUAUCACUAGGAAUACCGAAAGCGAAGGCGACCUGCUGGGACAUUACUGACGCUGAGGCGUGAAAGCGUGGGGAGCAAACAGGAUUAGAUACCCCUGUAGUC